rnacentral:rRNA from 1 species
AUUGAACGCUGGCGGCAGGCCUAACACAUGCAAGUCGAGCGAAUGAAGGGAGCUUUCUCCUGUAUUCAGCGGCGGACGGGUGAGUAAUUCCUAGGAAUCUGCCUUGUAUUGGGGGAUAACGUCCGUACACGGGCGCUAAUCCCGCAUACGUCCUGAGGGAGAACGUGGGGGAUCUUCGGACCUCACUCUCUCUGCUGAGCCUAGGGCGGAUUAGCUAGUUGGUGGGGUAAAGGCCUACCAAGGCGACGAUCCGUAACUGGUCUGAGAGGAUGAUCAGUCAAAAUGGAACUGAGAAACGGUCCAGAACCCUAAGGGAGGCAGCAGUGGGGAAUAUUGGACAAUGGGCGGAAGCCUGAUCCAGGCAUGGCGCGGGGGGGAAGAAGGUCUUCGGAUUGGAAAGAACUUUAAGUUGGGAGGAAGGGCAGUAAGUUAAUACCGUGCUGGUUUGAAGGUAACAACAGAAGAAGCACAGGCUAAAUUAGUG